CAAAAGAAAAGCCCAACCCCCCCCCCCCCCCCCCCCCCACCCCCCCCCCCCCCCCCCCCCCAACCCCCUUCCCCCCACCCACUAAAGGCGAUUAAAAAACUACUAAGAGCUUUAAAUCACAGUACCGCAAGGGAAACAUGAAAUAAUAAUUAAACACUUAAGCAUUAAAAAGUAGAGACUAACCCUCGUACCUUUUGCAUCAUGGCCUAGCCAGUCUGACCAGGCAAAAUGACACUUAAGUCUGACCCCCCGAAACUAAGCGAGCUACUUAAGAACAGCCCCAAGAGCCAACCCCUCUCUGUUGCAAAAGAGUGGGAAGAUUCUUAAGUAGAGGUGAUAAGCCUAUCGAGCCUAGUGAUAGCUGGUUACUCAGGAACCGGAUUUAAGUCCCCCCUCAAACAAUUCCCGUAACAACCAAUACCCCCCCCCCGUUUAAGAGCCACUCAAAUAAGGUACAGCCUAUUUGACACAGGAGACAACCUCCAACUAAGGGUAAUGACCAAACAUACGAUCAAGUGGGCCUAAUAGCAGCCACCUUUUGAAAAGCGUUAAAGCUUCACCGUACUAAAUCACAAUUCCACAAAACUAACAAAACCCACAACUAUUACUGAGUUAUUCUAUACACCUAUAGAUGAGUUCAUGCUAGAACUAGUAACAAGAAAAGACUUCUCCAAAAUAUAAACAUAAGCCACAAUGACCCUGCCGGCCCCUAUCGUACAACUAGUAGUACCCCUUCCCGGCUAGAAAAUCCUACUACAAAUUAACGUUAAGCUUACACUAGAAUAUUGCCGGAAAGAUUAAAAAAGAGGGAAGGAACUCGGCAAACACUAACCCCGCCUGUUUACCAAAAACAUCGCCUCCCGCCUCCAUGGGAGGUCCCGCCUGCCCAGUGGACUUACUAAACGGCCGCGGUACCCUAACCGUGCUAAGGUAGCGCAAUCACUUGCCCCUUAAAUAGGGGCUAGUAUGAACGGCAUCACGAGGGUUACCCUGUCUCCCCCCUUUAAUCAGUGAAACUAACCCCCCCGUGAAGAGGCGGGGAUUAUCCUAUAAGACGAGAAGACCCCAUGGAGCUUCAAAUACAUGUCACCCACCACUAAUACACCAACAGAACCAACGGAUCUGACCUCUGUUUUAGGUUGGGGCGACCACGGAGUAAAACUCAACCUCCGAGACGAACCCUAAUUCAAGAAUGACCCCUCAAAAAUCAAAACUGACGUAAUUGACCCAAAUUUAUUUGAUCAACGAACCAAGUUACCCUGGGGAUAACAGCGCAAUCCAUUUCAAGAGCCCCUAUCAACAAAUGGGUUUACGACCUCGAUGUUGGAUCAGGGUACCCCGGUGGUGUAGCCGCUACCAAUGGUUCGUUUGUUCAACGAUUAAAACCCUACGCGAUCUGAGUUCAAACCGGAGCAAUCCAGGUUGGUUUCUAUCUAUCAGGAGUUUUUCCCAGUACGAAAGGACCGGAAAAACACGGCCAAUGUUCCUAACAAGCCGCACCCAAAACAGUGAACUAAACUCAACUACUUUCCUCAACUAAAUUAUAGACAAUAGU
rnacentral:rRNA from 1 species